rnacentral:rRNA from 1 species
GGCGAGUGGCGAACGGGUGAGUAACAUAUCGGAACGUACCGAGUAAUGGGGGAUAACUAAUCGAAAGAUUAGCUAAUACCGCAUAUUCUCUGAGGAGGAAAGCAGGGGACCUUCGGGCCUUGCGUUAUUCGAGCGGCCGAUACCUGAUUAGCUAGUUGGUGGGGUAAAGGCCUACCAAGGCGACGAUCAGUAGCGGGUCUGAGAGGAUGAUCCGCCACACUGGGACUGAGACACGGCCCAGACUCCUACGGGAGGCAGCAGUGGGGAAUUUUGGACAAUGGGCGCAAGCCUGAUCCAGCCAUGCCGCGUGUCUGAAGAAGGCCUUCGGGUUGUAAAGGACUUUUGUCAGGGAAGAAAAGGCUGUCGCUAAUACCGACAGUUGAUGACGGUACCUGAAGAAUAAGCACCGGCUAACUACGUGCCAGCAGCCGCGGUAAUACGUAGGGUGCAAGCGUUAAUCGGAAUUACUGGGCGUAAAGCGAGCGCAGACGGUUACUUAAGCAGGAUGUGAAAUCCCCGGGCUCAACCUGGGAACUGCGUUCUGAACUGGGUGACUAGAGUGUGUCAGAGGGAGGUAGAAUCCCACGUGUAGCAGUGAAAUGCGUAGAGAUGUGGAGGAAUACCGAUGGCGAAGGCAGCCCCCUGGGAUAACACUGACGUUCAUGCUCGAAAGCGUGGGUAGCAAACAGGAUUAGAUACCCUGGUAGUCCACGCCCUAAACGAUGUCAAUUAGCUGUUGGGCAACUUGAUUGCUUAGUAGCGUAGCUAACGCGUGAAAUGACCGCCU